rnacentral:rRNA from 1 species
UUUACGGAGAGUUUGAUUCUGGCUCAGAACGAACGCUGGCGGCGUGGAUAAGACAUGCAAGUCGAACGCGACUUAAUCGAUUAGCAAUAAUUGGUUAAGUUGAGUGGCGAAAGGGUGCGUAACACGUGGGAAUCUACCGAAAAGUGUGGGAUAGCUCGCCGAAAGGCGAAUUAAUACCGCAUGUGAUAGUAAUAUUAAAGCAGGGGAUCGUAAGACCUUGCGCUUUUUGAGGAGCCCGCGGCCUAUCAGUUAGUUGGCGAGGUAAAAGCUCACCAAGACUAAGACGGGUAGCUGGUCUGAGAGGACGACCAGCCACACUGGAACUGAGACACGGUCCAGACACCUACGGGUGGCAGCAGUCGAGAAUUUUUCACAAU